AGGAAAAUAGUUUAAAAAAAACAUUUGAAUUGCAAUCAAAAAAUAUUAAUAAUUAAUUUCUCUUA
rnacentral:tRNA from 1 species